rnacentral:tRNA from 1 species
GAGGGUAUAGCUCAAAUGGUAGAGCGCAUGCUUAGCAUGCAAGAGGUCCUGGGUUCAAUCCCCAGUACCUCCA